rnacentral:rRNA from 1 species
UAAGCGGAGGAAAAGAAACUAACUAGGAUUCCCUCAGUAGCUGCGAGCGAACAGGGAAGAGCCCAGCACCGAAUCCCGCGGCCGAUAUCGGACGCCGGGAAAUGUGGUGUUAGGGAGGAUCCGUUUAUCCCGAGGUCGUGCGGUGCGUCCAAGUCCUUCUUGAACGGGGCCACAGCCCAUAGAGGGUGCCAGGCCCGUAGCGACCGCUGCCGAUCGCGGGAGGAUCUCUCCUCAGAGUCGGGUUGCUUGAGAGUGCAGCCCUAAGCGGGUGGUAAACUCCAUCUAAGGCUAAAUACGACCACGAGACCGAUAGCGAACAAGUACCGUGAGGGAAAGUUGAAAAGCACUUUGAAGAGAGAGUUCAAGAGUACGUGAAACCGUUCAGGGGUAAACCUGAGAAGCCCGAAAGGUCGAAUGGGGAAAUUCAUUCGCGUCUCGCGCGUCGUCCGCGCCUUCCGUUCUUCGAUCCGGCGUCGAACGCGUGCACUUUUCCCCUAGUAGGACGUCGUGAUCCGUUGGGUGUCGGUCCUCGCGGUGGAGCCCGUGCGGUCGCUUCGCACGGACCCGCGGUGUCCCGGCCGACUCGCUCGACGGUAUACAGAUGGCGAGGGGCCGCUAUUCAGUUAGCGUUCGACCCGCGGCAAGCGCGUUCGCGACGGCGAUCGGACCUGGUGCCGGUCCCGUCCGCGAACGACUGUUGGCCGCGCUCGAACAGACCUCGACGAAACGCCGAUCUGCGACGCUAUAGCUUUGGGUACUUUCAGGACCCGUCUUGAA